AACCAUUCUCACCUGCGGCUAGACCUGCGGAGGGAUCAUUACAGAGUUCGUGCCCUCGCGGGUAGAUCUCCCACCCUUGUGUAUUCUCUACAUCUUGUUGCUUUGGCAGGCCGUUGGUUCGCCAACCACCGGCUCGCGGGCUGGUGCGUGCCUGCCAGAGGACCUCUCAAACUCGGUUUGUUAGUGUCGUCUGAGUACCAUAACAAUCGUUAAAACUUUCAACAACGGAUCUCAGAUCGG
rnacentral:misc_RNA from 1 species